UUUGCUUGGUGGGUUAGUUUUUGCUAGUCGGUUUGCUUUCGCUUGGUGGGUUAGUUUUUGCUAGUCGGUUAGCUUUUGUUUGGGGCGUUAGUUUUUGUUAGAAUGGAUCGCAUAGAAAAAGAAAAUAACAUGCUUUGGGGGAAAUGUUCGCACACAUAGAUAGCCACCAGAAAAGAUUCUUGUGCCAAAUUCUUUCCUGUAUCUGGUCAAAUAUUCGGUCUUUAUCCUUUUCUCUUUUUCCUGCUCAUCCAUGUCUCGUAGUAUCGUGGAGCAUGAUAGGAAUGAUAUUGAUUCUGUCUUCCGUGAGACAAGUCAAAGAGCGAUGGAGAGAAAAAUGUACUUUUAAAAAAUGAGUGAGUUUUUUUUUGUUGUUGUUUGUUUUUUCGUCUCCUGGGUGUUGGCGUGCUUGUAUUCAUGAUAGAUGAUAAUGCACUGACCCCUAGAGGCCAGAAUAGGCAAUAACAACCGAACUCAUGCGGUUACCAUAUGGGAAAGGAAGAUAUGUAAGGUACUGAGCACUUGAGGAUGAAAAUAAUCAAUAAUGGUUGGUGCAAUGUGGACUGAUGUGAAGUGUAUUUACUCCUAGGUACCCCAGUUUAGGGUUGGGAUGGUAGCAGAACCUGUGGUUGGAAUUGUAGAUGUAUAAAGAACACAUACAUAGGGUCACAGGGAACCUGGAGCCUAUCCCAGGGAGCAUCGGGCACAAGGCGGGGUACACCCUGGACAGGAUGCCGGUCAAUAUUGAUUCAGCGCAAUCAAAACAUUUUCCUGUUUUUCAUUUACAUUAUUAACAUAAAUGACUGUACAGUUUACAGUAUAUGAGGUACCUGCUGGACUGGACUGGAUAUUAUGGAGUGACUAAUCUAUAAAUACAUACAGUAUAUAUCAGAAAUACAUAUAUACACACACAUAAAUAGGUCACAUAUUUCCCCAUAACAAUCUCAUCCAAACUUAAAUACUUAACAACCACUGGCAACAGCUAUUCUCAGCACUAGGCUCGGAGGAUUUGCCUCUUUGCCAAUACUGGUAUAGUGUAAUCUGUUGCAUUGAUCAUUAAUAUAAGUUGUUGUAGGGUUGUACUCUUUACAACCAGUAACAAUUAUUGUUAGUGAGUUGUAAUUAAGGUACAAAAUCUACAACUGUUAACACAU
ensembl:lncRNA